rnacentral:tmRNA from 1 species
GGGGUUGACCGGUUUUGACAGCGUGUAGAAGUGGUGUGUAAGCAUGCAGAGCAAUGAUGCCUUAGCUCUAUAAUCUCCAUGACAUCAACAAUUUAAAUGGCGAAAACACUUACGCUCUCGCUGCCUAAUCGAAGCACAGUAGAUUAGCUUGCUUAAUCUCCGCAACAGUUGUGGAGACGAGACAUCGCCCGAUUGUCCUUUUUCCGAGACUAAUCGACAAGGCGGUGCAGAUAAAUCGGGAAUAGAGCCGCGCACGCCUCGGGCAAAGCUCGAAAUUUUAGAGGAUAAGGACGGGAUUGGCCGUUUUCUGCCUGUCUCGCCCCGACAACCAACAGAAAACUAAGCAUGUAGAAAGCUCAUUAGUUCCACGUUUGGACGAGGGUUCAAGUCCCUCCAACUCCACAA